GAUAAUUUAUUCAUAAAUAUUUUGGUCGAGCCAAUAAAUCUCGUAGUGCCCCCAUCUGAGGUAUUUCGUUUCCGAGCACCUGCACAGUUCAGAGGUUAGGGAACUUUUUGAUCCCAAACAUAAAUUUCGUGGCCAUUCAAUGACAGGUGCAGCUGCCAUCGACAUUCUACCAUAAUAAGAUGGGCAGACAUCGACAUCGCCCCUCCAUCUCUGGUUUGUUUACCGAAUCUGAACUUUUUAGCUGCUCCAACUGGGCGACUGACUGACUGACUGACUGACUGAGCAUCUCACUUUCGGGAUUUUGGAGGAGGCCGGCUGUUUAUGUUGUUAAAUGCAAAAAUGAUUUCCAUUAAAAACAAACAAAUGGCGAGACGCACGUAGCAACGGCACCAGUGUGCGUGGUCCGUGGAGUA